rnacentral:rRNA from 1 species
GUGCCAGCGCCGCGGUAAUACGUAGGGAGCAAGCGUUGUCCGGAAUCAUUGGGCGUAAAGGGUGCGCAGGCGGCCUGGCAAGUCAAGUGUGAAAUGUAUCGGCUUAACCGAUACACUGCGCUUGAAACUGUCAGACUUGAGGGCAAGAGAAGAGAGCGGAAUUCCUAGUGUAGCGGUGAAAUGCGUAGAUAUUAGGAAGAACACCAGUGGCGAAAGCGGCUCUCUGGCUUGACCCUGACGCUGAGGCACGAAAGCUAGGGGAGCGAACGGGAUUAGAUACCCUAGUAGUCC